GCAAAAAGAUAAAUCAUACUUUAAAUUAAAAUAAACAGCACAACAUCCACGUGGCACAAUCUCCACUAUCUGCCAUUUUCCGUACAAUCAAAUGGACCACACGUGCCACACGUUUACCGCGAAACUCUUUUAGCGGUUCUCGCUCGCCGCCGCCUGCUCCUCACAUUCCGACCGAUUCACAAAAACAAAAAAAUAGGAACAUAUUUACUAUUCGAAUAACUCCCUCUCGUUACGAUUAAUCA
rnacentral:misc_RNA from 1 species